UCAUGGUGAAACACCGGUUCCCGUACGGUCACCGAAGUUAAGCAACGUCGAGCAUGGUCAAUACCUAGAUGGGUCACCGCUUAGGAAUACCAUAUGCUGUAAG